rnacentral:piRNA from 1 species
UGCCUAGCUUGAUGCCUGCCUCCA